AUUGAAUGCUGGCGGCAGGCCUAACACAUGCAAGUCGAGCGGAUGAAGGGAGCUUGCUCCUGGAUUCAGCGGCGGACGGGUGUGUAAUGCCUAGGAAUCUGCCUGGUAGUGGGGGAUAACGUCCGGAAACGGGCGCUAAUACCGCAUACGUCCUGAGGGAGAAAGUGGGGGAUCUUCGGACCUCACGCUAUCAGAUGAUCCUAGGUCGGAUUAGCUAGUUGGUGGGGUAAAGGCCUACCAAGGCGACGAUCCGUAACUGGUCUGAGAGGAUGAUCAGUCACACUGGAACUGAGACACGGUCCAGACUCCUACGGGAGGCAGCAGUGGGGAAUAUUGGACAAUGGGCGAAAGCAUGAUCCAGCCAGGCCGCGUGUGUGAAGAAGGUCUUCGGAUUGUAAAGCACUUUAAGUUGGGAGGAAGGGAAGUAAGUUAAUACCUUGCUGUUUUGACGUUACCAACAGAAUAAGCACCGGCUAACUUCGUG
rnacentral:rRNA from 1 species